rnacentral:rRNA from 1 species
GCCGAACGCUGGCGGCGUGCUUAACACAUGCAAGUCGAACGGUAAGGCCCUUCGGGGUACACGAGUGGCGAACGGGUGAGUAACUCGUGGGUGAUCUGCCCUGCACUUCGGGAUAAGCCCGGGAAACUGGGUCUACUACCGGAUAGGACCACUGCCUGCAUGGGUGGUGGUGGAAAGCUUUUGCGGUGUGGUCUGGGCCCGCGGCCUAUCAGCUUGUUGGUGGGGUGAUGGCCUACCAAGGCGACGACGGGUAGCCGGCCUGAGAGGGUGACCGGCCACACUGGGACUGAGAUACGGCCCAGACUCCUACGGUAGGCAGCAGUGGGGAAUAUUGCACAAUGGGCGCAAGCCUGAUGCAGCGACGCCGCGUGAGGGAUGACGGCCUUCGGGUUGUAAACCUCUUUCAGCACCGACGAAGCGCAAGUGACGGUAGGUGCAGAAGAAGGACCGGCCAACUACGUGCCAGCCGCCGCUGUAA